UGCAUCGGCCGGGAAUCGAACCUGGGCCGCCCGCGUGGCAGGCGAGCAUUCUGCCACUGAACCACCGAUGG
rnacentral:tRNA from 1 species